AAAAAGAAAGAGUACCAAAAUUUUUCUAUACCCCAUUUUUUUUAUGCCACAAGACCUCAAUUUGAUCCUCCCGCAAUCAAAAUUCGUGAACUAGAAUCAUCAUUUAGCUCAAUUUUUUGUUCGAAUCUCUCUUCCUGAAUUGAGAUUUCUUUUAGCUUAUGCUUGUGAACUGAAAUUACCUAGUUACUCGUAGUUCAGAAUUCAUGUUUUCGAAUCGAUUGUGUUUUUAUCUGUAUAAGGGCGGCGGAAUUCUUCGUCUCAUUGGUGUUUUGCUUGUUGGGUUCGUGCAAUUUAAUGAUUUUGCAAUCGACUCCAAAUACUAUACCUCUUUGCUGUGAUUUUUCACAGAAAAAGCUGUUGGCUUUUUCUUCCACAUCUCUCCGUCCCCCUUGCAGUUUCUACUCCUGUGGUGAUAAUAAUAGUUGCUAUCGGGAACAUUAUCGACGCAGAAACAUCUUAACACGGAAAAAAAGGAUAAUAAAAAAUGUGAGAUGGGCAAUCCUCCAGGUUCAAGCUUGCAUCAAUGGGGGGAAUUCCCAAUACCACUUCAACAUAGACCUCAAUAACAUUGCUACCCGACGGGGAGCUAAAAAUAUAGACUUGAAGCGAUUUUCAGAUGAUGAAUUCGAUUACAAUUCAUCCAAUGCUGUUACAGGUAGUAGAGGUACGAAUGCAAAUGGUAAUUAUUAUAGUUCCGGUUUUGCAGAAGACCCCAUUGUAGAUAAGCUGAGAACUCAGCUGGGAGUGAUGCACCCAAUCCCAACUCCUCCUCAGAUUAACCGCAACAUUGUUGGCCUCUUUGCCUUUUUCUUUUUCAUAGGGGUUGUUUUCGACAAGCUAUGGACCUCUCCAAAGAGGAACAAUAUUAUUACCAUUAAGCCUGGGAGUUGGCCACAGGUGCCUGCCAACCUGUCCAUGUUUCUUGAGAAGGAUUUGCAGAGGAAAGAAUCUGUCGAGUGGGUGAACAUGGUGCUGGGGAAGCUAUGGAAGGUCUACAGGGCUGGGAUUGAGAAUUGGAUCACUGGCUUGCUUCAGCCAGUUAUUGACAAUCUCAAAAAGCCAGAUUAUGUGCAGAGGGUGGAGAUUAAGCAGUUUUCUCUAGGGGAUGAACCCUUGUCCGUCAGGAGCGUUGAGCGCCGUACUUCUCGGCGAAUCAAUGAUUUGCAAUACCAGAUAGGCCUCCGUUACACUGGUGGUGCACGAAUGCUUUUAAUGCUGUCACUCAACUUCAGCAUUCUUCCCAUCGUCGUGCCAGUGGGUGUGCGAGACUUUGACAUUGAUGGAGAAGUGUGGGUAAAAUUGCGACUGAUUCCAUCAGAACCAUGGGUUGGAGCUCUUUCUUGGGCAUUUGUUUCUCUGCCGAAGAUAAAAUUCGAAUUGUCACCAUUUCGCUUAUUCAAUCUAAUGGCAAUUCCUGUCCUCUCAAAGUUUUUGAAGAAACUUCUCACUGUGGAUUUACCUCGGCUAUUUGUGCGCCCAAAUAAGAUUGUUCUAGAUUUUCAGAAGGGAAAAGCUGUUGGACCAAUUCCAAAUGAAAGACCUGGAGAAAAUCAAGAGGGAAAUAAGGACUUUGCCGCAGAAUUGUCGGUGACUCUUCUAGAUGCACGGAAACUCACUUAUAUUUUCUAUGGCAAAACGGAUCCAUAUGUUGUUCUGAGAUUGGGAGAUCAAGUAAUACGCAGUAAAAAAAACACCCAAACUACCGUCAUUGGACCUCCUGGUGAGCCAAUCUGGGAUCAGGAUUUUCACAUGUUAGUUGCUAACCCUGGGGAAGAAAAAUUAUACAUUGAAGUAAGGGAUUCUCUUGGAUUUGCGGAUUUUACAGUCGGUACUGCUGAGGUUGAUCUUGGAUCUUUGAAAGAUACUGUUCCAACAGACAAGAUUGUGGUACUUCGAGGAGGGUGGUCCCUGUUUGGAAAAGGGAUUGCUGGAGAAAUCUUACUGCGAUUGACAUAUAAAGCAUAUGUGGAGGAUGAAGAAGAUGAAAGAACUGCAAAACGAUCUGAUAUGGAUGCUUCAGAUGAUGAGCUUUCUUAUGAAUCAGAUACCUCAACAUCUGAGCAGAGUGGGAAGGAAUACUCAAUUGGAACAGAUGCAGAAUCUUUCGUGGAUGUUCUAGCAGCUUUACUUGUAAGUGAGGAAUUCCGAGGGAUAGUGACAUCAGAAACAGUAAAUACUAAGUCUCCAGAUGCCGGUGCAGAUACUGAGACAACGCCAAUAUUGACUGCUGGAUCCAACCAGGAUGUUUCAGAAAGUGGUUCUGGUAAUUCUAGAGGAUUGACCUUAUUUUGGCUUGCCAUGAUUGCUAGUAUCUCAGUCCUUACUGCUAUAAAUGUGAGCGGAUCUGGUUUAUUUAAUCCUUGAUGUGAUGUCGGUCAUGUGAUAUUACUAAAGAGGUGCCAUUACAUACUACUUCAGUAAAUUACGGAAUCCUGAUAUUUCUCUUGGGUGUUUCUCUUUUAUCCUAAUUCCUGCGAUGAAUCAUAUUGAAAUUGUUUCCUUCAUAUUCUUUUCGGGAUAAGCAAGAUUGCAUCUUGAUUAUGGAUUAUCUUAAAGAGUAGCGCAUCAUGUGGGGUUGAGUGCUAAUUCUCUCCUUUGGAACUCCCAAAUAACUGGAGAGUAGGAAAAUAUGCAGAAACAGAAAAUAACAGUCCACUGCAUUUUCCUUACUAGGUUAAUGGUUUUAGGCAGAGAAAUUCAAAUUUUUGGCCUUUUCUUACCUAUCGUGGAUUGCUUUAUACCAUAAAUUAAAUUGUGUACACGAAACAUUAUACAAGGUCUAUUGAUUGCCUUUCGGAAAGAAAAGAUGAAAAAUUCUUCUUCUUUAGUCAA